rnacentral:rRNA from 1 species
UGAAUACGAGACGCUAAGGCGUCGAAGUAGUGUAUGUCAUACUUCCAAGAAAAGCUUGCACUGUCAUAGAUAAAAAACGCCUGUACCAUAACCGACACAGGUGGGUAGGUAGAGUAUACUAAGGGGCGCGAGAUAACUCUCUCUAAGGAACUCGGCAAAAUAACUCCGUAACUUCGGGAGAAGGAGUGCCUUAUUCGUAAGGUUGCAAUAACAAGAUCCAAGCAACUGUUUAUCAAAAACACAGGUCUCCGCUAAGUCGUAAGACGAUGUAUGGGGGCUGACGCCUGCCCAGUGCCAGAAGGUUAAAGAAGUUGGUUAGCAAUUGCGAAGCUGAUAACUGAAGCCCUGGUGAACGGCGGCCGUAACAAUAACGGUCCUAAGGUAGCGAAAUUCCUUGUCGGGUAAGUUCCGACCCGCACGAAAGGCGUAAUGAUUUGGAUACUGUCUCGGAGAGGGGCUCGGUGAAAUAGACUUGUCUGUGAAGAUGCGGACUACCUGCACCAGGACAGAAAGACCCUAUGAAGCUUUACUGUAACUUGAAAUUGAAAUUGGACUUUAUUCGCGCAGUAUAGGUGGGAGGCGUUGAUUAUAAUCUUGUGGGAUUAUUGGAGCCAUCAGUGAGAUACCACUCUUGUAAUGUUAGAUUUCUAACUUUGAAUCAUUAUCUGGUCAAAGAACAGUUUCAGGCGGGCAGUUUGACUGGGGCGGUCGCCUCCUAAACGGUAACGGAGGCGUACAAAGGUUUCCUCUGAACGGUUAGAAAUCGUAUCUAGAGUGUAAAGGCAUAAGGAAGCUUGACUGUGAGACCUACAAGUCGAGCAGGGACGAGAGUCGGUCUUAGUGAUCUGACGGUACUGAGUGGAAAGGCCGUCACUCAACGGAUAAAAGUUACUCUAAGGAUAACAGGCUGAUCUCCCCCAAGAGUUCACAUCGACGGGGAGGUUUGGCACCUCGAUGUCGGCUCAUCGCAUCCUGGGGCGGUAGUACGUCCCAAGGGUUGGGCUGUUCGCCCAUGAAAGCGGUACGCGAGCUGGGUUCAGAACGUCGUGAGACAGUUCGGUCCAUAUCCGGUGUAGGCGUUAGAAUAUUGAGAGGAGCCUUCUUUAGUACGAGAGGACCGAGAAGGACAUACCUCUGGUGUACCAGUUAUCGUGCCAACGGUAAACGCUGGGUAGCUAUGUAUGGAGUGGAUAACCGCUGAAAGCAUCUAAGUGGGAGGCCCACCUCAAGAUAAGUAUUCUCC